UACGUAGGGUGCGAGCGUUGUCCGGAAUUAUUGGGCGUAAAGAGCUCGUAGGCGGUCUGUCGCGUCUGCUGUGAAAACUCAGGGCUUAACCCUGAGCUUGCAGUGGGUACGGGCAGACUAGAGUGCGGUAGGGGAGACUGGAAUUCCUGGUGUAGCGGUGAAAUGCGCAGAUAUCAGGAGGAACACCGGUGGCGAAGGCGGGUCUCUGGGCCGUAACUGACGCUGGAGGAGCGAAAAGCAUGGGGAGCGAACAGG
rnacentral:rRNA from 1 species